rnacentral:rRNA from 1 species
CGAAAGCCUGACGGAGCAAGACCGCGUGGGGGAGGAAGGCUCUAGGGUUGUAAACCCCUUUUCUUUGGGAAGAACAAAAUGACGGUACCAAAGGAAUCAGCCUCGGCUAACUCCGUGCCAGCAGCCGCGGUAAUACGGAGGAGGCAAGCGUUAUCCGGAAUGAUUGGGCGUAAAGCGUCCGCAGGUGGCAAUUCAAGUCUGCUGUCAAAGCACGGGGCUUAACUCCGUUAAGGCAGUGGAAACUACAUAGCUAGAGUUCGGUAGGGGCAAAGGGAAUUCCCGGUGUAGCGGUGAAAUGCGUAGAGAUCGGGAAGAACAUCGGUGGCGAAAGCGCUUUGCUAGACCGAAACUGACACUCAGGGACGAAAGCUAGGGGAGCG